rnacentral:rRNA from 1 species
CGCGUAGGUGGUUUGUUAAGUUGGAUGUGAAAGCCCCGGGCUCAACCUGGGAACUGCAUCCAAAACUGGCAAGCUAGAGUACGGUAGAGGGUGGUGGAAUUUCCUGUGUAGCGGUGAAAUGCGUAGAUAUAGGAAGGAACACCAGUGGCGGAGGCGACCACCUGGACUGAUACUGACACUGAGGUGCGAAAGCGUGGGGAGCAAACA